AUGAGCAUCUCACAGGGAAACAUCUACAUGGAAAGGUCCAAAGAUUUACCUUUGUUUCUUUGACCAUAUGAGAAAACUGGAUAUUCCUUUUGUGCGAAUAUUUACGAAACUAUACCCAGAGGCACAGGCAAUGAAUGUUAAUCGAUGUUUAAAUUUUUCUCCAGGCCAUUCAUGCAGAACUCUCCAAACUAGUACAGAAAAGGACUGGUCGGGGAGGAACCUUGAAGCUAAAGAACAGCUUGUGUCAGAAACCUGGGGAGAAACGAGCAACUUUUCAUUCAGAGUCUCAGAAGUCAGGCCUGGCUAUCCCUUGGAAGUGGCUGUUCGGAGCUGCGAUGGUGAUCAUUGGAAGCAUGGUGACCUCUGUUGUCUUGGCAGCACGAGGCUAAGUAAGAACGAAGAGGCAAGACCACACCAAGGCUUUUGAAGAAGACGCAUCUGACUCAGCUGAGUUAGUUCUGGACUGGCUAACCUGUCUGUAUCUUCUGACGUUGGCUCAUUUCACAGAAAGAGAAAAAGGGUAGAAAAUCCCGGUUUCUUUUCAAAAUAACAUCGAUACAGCAUUUGCCCAAUUAGAGAGUUAGGAAGUUUUCAGCAAUUCUGAAACUCAGCUCAGUUUCCUUUUUAACCAAACUAUGGUAUGGAGCAUUAGUGCGAUCAGUUAAUUCAGUAUAAACAGAGCCAAAUUAUUUUAAUCGUGUUCAGUUCAGGCAUGACAAACAAAUUGAAUUGAAUAUUGGAAAUAUUUCUGUAAAACACAGACAACUACUUUGGGAAUAAGAAAUGUAUAGGUUGGGCAUGGAUGGACAGGAUGGAUCAAAUGGCUACCUCUCGCUGUAAGAUUCCACAAUCACAUUCCAAUAAAGCAAUUAUUGUAAAGCAGUUUACAAACCUAUUCCUGGAUUAAUCAAUUGCCAAUAAUCCUGUGCAACUUCAGUAUCUUUAUUCAGUGUUGGAGGGGCGAUUUUGUUGGAGGUGUAUUAUGCACAUGUGCUACAUCAUUUCAUUAUACAAGAAACAGAAAGGUCAAACCAUGAUAUCGCAAUCCACACUAUUUUGAGUUGAUAACUUUGCUAGACAUUUGCCCUGUAGACGUAUCCCGCAGGAACGCUGUAAAACACAAUCAACAAAUGCAAGAAGCAUUGAAAAAUAAACUUGAUUCAAUCUAA